rnacentral:rRNA from 1 species
UACAGAGGUCUCAAGCGUUGUUCGGAUUCAUUGGGCGUAAAGGGCGCGUAGGCGGCGGGGUAAGUCGGGUGUGAAAUCUCAGGGCUCAACCCUGAAACUGCACUCGAUACUGCUCUGCUUGAGGACUGGAGAGGAGACUGGAAUUCACGGUGUAGCAGUGAAAUGCGUAGAGAUCGUGAGGAAGACCAGUGGCGAAGGCGGGUCUCUGGACAGUUCCUGACACUGAGGCACGAAGGCCAGGGGAGCAAACGGG